rnacentral:rRNA from 1 species
UACGAAGGGGGCUAGCGUUGCUCGGAAUGACUGGGCGUAAAGGGCGCGUAGGCGGAUGGUACAGUCAGAUGUGAAAUUCCUGGGCUUAACCUGGGGCUGCAUUUGAUACGUGUUGUCUAGAGUGAGGAAGAGGGUCGUGGAAUUCCCAGUGUAGAGGUGAAAUUCGUAGAUAUUGGGAAGAACACCGGUGGCGAAGGCGGCGACCUGGUCCUUUACUGACGCUGAGGCGCGAAAGCGUGGGGAGCAAACAGG